GGGCAGGACUGAGUGGCAGAGCAUCUGCCUUGUGAGCAGAAGGGCUGGGUUCAACCCACAGCAUCCCCA